UUUUUUUGGUAUAGUUGACACGAAGAACAGAUUCUAUUUGAUAAGUUCUGAAUACAAUGAUAAUCCCCAAUUGAUUAAAGAUAGAGUUCAUCAGUUGUUCACCCCGUUAAGUUCUAUAGUUGUUAAUGGAGUGUUGUAUGCUCAAGGGAAUCGACAACUAUUACACAAGACAAAACUUUUUAGUUCAGUUGAAUGUACUACGGAUCUUUCAGCAACAAAUUGUAAGAAAUACCUUGAUUAGGAAAUAACCGAACUUAUAAAUUGUAGUUAUAAAAUGAAAGGUGGACGAGCAAUAUAUAGAAGUUGCUACAUCAGAUUUGAAUUGUACAACUUUUACUAA
rnacentral:lncRNA from 1 species